UACGUAGGGGCCAAGCGUUGUCCGGAUUUAUUGGGCGUAAAGAGCUCGUAGGCGGUUUGGAUAGUCGGGUGUGAAAACUCCGAGCUCAACUCGGAGACGCCACCCGAUACUGCCAUGACUAGAGUCCGGUAGGGGAGCGUGGAAUUCCUGGUGUAGCGGUGAAAUGCGCAGAUAUCAGGAGGAACACCAGCGGCGAAGGCGGCGCUCUGGGCCGGUACUGACGCUGAGGAGCGAAAGCGUGGGUAGCAAACAGG
rnacentral:rRNA from 1 species